GCAUGCUGGGCGCAGCCUGAUCCAGCAAUGCCGCGUGAGUGAAGAAGGCCUUCGGGUUGUAAAGCUCUUUUGUCAGGGAAGAAACGGCUCAGGCUAAUAUCCUGGGCUAAUGACGGUACCUGAAGAAUAAGCACCGGCUAACUACGUGCCAGCAGCCGCGGUAAUACGUAGGGUGCAAGCGUUAAUCGGAAUUACUGGGCGUAAAGCGUGCGCAGGCGGUUUUGUAAGUCUGACGUGAAAGCCCCGGGCUCAACCUGGGAAUUGCGUUGGAGACUGCAAGGCUUGAAUCUGGCAGAGGGGGGUAGAAUUCCACGUGUAGCAGUGAAAUGCGUAGAGAUGUGGAGGAACACCGAUGGCGAAGGCAGCCCCCUGGGUCAAGAUUGACGCUCAUGCACGAAAGCGUGGGGAGCAAACAGGAUUAGAUACCCUGGUAGUCCACGCCCUAAACGAUGUCUACUAGUUGUCGGGUUUUAAUUAACUUGGUAACGCAGCUAACGCGUGAAGUAGACCGCCUGGGGAGUACGGUCGCAAGAUUAAAACUCAAAUGAAAUUGACGG
rnacentral:rRNA from 1 species